rnacentral:rRNA from 1 species
AGAGUUUGAUCAUGGCUCAGAACGAACGCUGGCGGCAGGCCUAACACAUGCAAGUCGAACGCGACCUUCGGGUCGAGUGGCGCACGGGUGAGUAACGCGUGGGAAUCUGCCCUGUGGUACGGAAUAACAUCGGGAAACUGGUGCUAAUACCGUAUAUCCCCUGAGGGGGAAAGAUUUAUCGCCAUGGGAGGAGCCCGCGUAGGAUUAGCUAGUUGGUGGGGUAACGGCCUACCAAGGCGACGAUCCUUAGCUGGUCUGAGAGGAUGAUCAGCCACACUGGGACUGAGAUACGGCCCAGACUCCUACGGGAGGCAGCAGUGGGGAAUAUUGGACAAUGGGGGAAACCCUGAUCCAGCCAUGCCGCGUGUGUGAUGAAGGCCUUCGGGUUGUAAAGCACUUUCGCACGUGACGAUGAUGACGGUAACGUGAGAAGAAGCCCCGGCUAACUUCGUGCCAGCAGCCGCGGUAAUACGAAGGGGGCAAGCGUUGUUCGGAAUUACUGGGCGUAAAGGGCGCGUAGGCGGUGCUCUAAGUCAGGCGUGAAAGCCCUGGGCUCAACCCGGGAAUUGCGCUUGAUACUGGGGCGCUUGAAUCCAGGAGAGGUUGGUGGAAUUCCCAGUGUAGAGGUGAAAUUCGUAGAGAUUGGGAAGAACACCGGUGGCGAAGGCGGCCAACUGGACUGGUAUUGACGCUGAGGCGCGAAAGCGUGGGGAGCAAACAGGAUUAGAUACCCUAGUAGUCC